UCAAGAUACAAAGAGCGUAGGGUGGAUGCCUUGGCACUAAGAGCCGAUGAAAGACGUGAUAAGCUGCGAUAAGCUACGGUGAGGAGCAAAUAUCCUUUGACCCGUAGAUUUCUGAAUGGGGAAACCUAGCAGAGAAAACCUCUGUUACUGUAUGGUGAAUACAUAGCCAUACAGAGGGAACCCGGGGAACUGAAACAUCUAAGUACCCGGAGGAAGAGAAAGAAAAUUCGAUUUCCUGAGUAGCGGCGAGCGAAAUGGAAAGAGCCUAAACCAGAGUGCGUGCAUUCUGGGGUAAUGGACUGCAAUAUGUGAGCAUUAAGCUAGAAGAAUGGUUUUGGGAAAGCCAGCCAAAGAGAGUGAAAGCCUCGUAUUCGAAAGUGGCGUGCAGCUAGCAGUAUCCGGAGUACCACGAGACACGAGAAACCUUGUGGGAAGUCGGGGGGACCACCCCCCAAGGCUAAAUACUACUUAGUGACCGAUAGCGCAUAGUACUGUGAAGGAAAGGUGAAAAGAACCCCGGGAGGGGAGUGAAAGAGAACCUGAAACCCUAUGUUUACAAACUGUCGAAGCACGUUAAUGUGCGACGGCGUACUUUUUGUAGAACGGUCCGGCGAGUUAUUGUUACUGGCGAGGUUAAUCACAUAAAGUGAGGAGCCGAAGGGAAACCAAGUGUUAAUAGCGCGUAUAGUCAGUGAGAAUAGACCCGAAACCGGGUGAUCUACCCAUGUCCAGGUUGAAGUUGCCGUAAAAGGCAAUGGAGGACCGAACACACAUCCGUUGAAAAGGGUGGUGAUGAGGUGUGGGUAGGGGAGAAAUUCCAAUCGAACCCGGAGAUAGCUGGUUCUCCUCGAAAUAGCUUUAGGGCUAGCCUCGGUUUAGUCUAAUGGAGGUAGAGCACUGAAUAUCCUAGGGGGCGUCAAAGCUUACCGAAGAUUAUCAAACUCCGAAUGCCAUAUAGAUGAUGACCGGGAGUCAGACUACACGAGAUAAGUUGGGUAGUCAAAAGGGAAAGAGCCCAGACCACCAGCUAAGGUCCCAAAGUGCGUGUUAAGUGGAAAAGGAUGUGGGAUUUCAAAGACAACCAGGAUGUUGGCUCAGAAGCAGCCAUACAUUAAAAGAGUGCGUAAUAGCUCACUGGUCGAGAGGUCCUGCGCCGAAAAUGUCCGGGGCUAAAACACGACACCGAAGCUGUGGAAUGUGUAAACAUUGGUAGAGGAGCAUUCUUAAUUGGAUGAAGCAGUACCGAAAGGAGCUGUGGACGAUUAAGAAGAGAGAAUGCCGGAAUGAGUAGCGAGAUAGAAGUGAGAAUCUUCUAGGCCGAAUAUCCAAGGUUUCCAGAGUAAAGCUGAUCUGCUCUGGGUAAGUCGGGACCUAAGGCGAGGACGAGAGUCGUAGUCGAUGGACAACAGGUUGAAAUUCCUGUACCUUGAAUAAACAGAACUGUGGGGACGCAGAGAGAAAGCCAGACCGGGAGAUGGAUUUCCGGACAAGCGAGGUAUCGGUGAGGUAGGAAAAACCGCCUCAUAACGAGAAUACGUGAUGUGGACCGAAAUAUAAGUAGGGAAGCUGGUGAGCUAGCUGCCAAGAAAAGCCGCUAUUGUUUUAUUCAAGCCCGUACCGUAAACCGACACAGGUGGAUGAGGAGAGAAUCCUAAGGCCGGCGGGAGAAGCAUUGUUAAGGAACUCGGCAAAAUGACCCCGUAACUUCGGGAGAAGGGGUGCCUACGCGAGUAGGCCGCAGAGAAUUGGCCCAAGCAACUGUUUAGCAAAAACACAGGUCUAUGCAAAACCGUAAGGUGAAGUAUAUGGGCUGACGCCUGCCCGGUGCUGGAAGGUUAAGAGGAGAGCUUAGCGCAAGCGAAGGUUUGAAUUUAAGCCCCAGUAAACGGCGGCCGUAACUAUAACGGUCCUAAGGUAGCGAAAUUCCUUGUCGGGUAAGUUCCGACCNNGCUUUACUCUAGUUUGAUACUGGGAUUCGGUAUUGUAUGUACAGGAUAGGUGGGAGACUAAGAAUUGGGAACGCCAGUUUCCAAGGAGUCGAUGUUGGGAUACCACCCUUGCAGUAUUGGAUUUCUAACAUUCAGCCGUUAUCCGGCUGGUGGACAAUGUCAGGCGGGGAGUUUGACUGGGGCGGUCGCCUCCGAAAGGGUAUCGGAGGCGC
rnacentral:rRNA from 1 species